rnacentral:rRNA from 1 species
GAUAAACGCUGGCGGCGCACAUAAGACAUGCAAGUUGAACGGACUUAAUCGAAAUAUUUAUAUUUUGAAGCGGUUAGUGGCGGACUGGUGAGUAACGCGUAAGGAACCUGCCUAUUAGAGGGGAAUAACAGUGAGAAAUCAUUGCUAAUACCGCAUAUGCCAUAGAUAUCACAUGAUAACAGUGGGAAAGGAGCAAUCCGCUAAUAUAUGGCCUUGCGUCUGAUUAGAUAGUUGGUGGGGUAACGGCCUACCAAGUCGACGAUCAGUAGCCGGACUGAGAGGUUGAACGGCCACAUUGGGACUGAGAUACGGCCCAGACUCCUACGGGAGGCAGCAGUCGGGAAUAUUGCGCAAUGGAGGAAACUCUGACGCAGUGACGCCGCGUAUAGGAAGAAGGUUUUCGGAUUGUAAACUAUUGUCGUUAGGGAAGAGAAAGGACAGUACCUAAGGAGGAAGCUCCGGCUAACUACGUG